GACGAACGCUGGCGGCGUGCUUAACACAUGCAAGUCGAACGCUGAACCCGCUUCGGUGGGGGAUGAGUGGCGAACGGGUGAGUAACACGUGGGCAACCUGCCCCCGGCUCUGGGAUAACUCCAAGAAAUUGGGGCUAAUACCGGAUGUGACCGCUGGCCGCAUGGUCUGGUGGUGGAAAGGGUUUCCGGCUGGGGAUGGGCCCGCGGCCUAUCAGCUUGUUGGUGGGGUAGUGGCCUACCAAGGCGACGACGGGUAGCCGGCCUGAGAGGGUGACCGGCCACACUGGGACUGAGACACGGCCCAGACUCCUACGGGAGGCAGCAGUGGGGAAUAUUGCGCAAUGGGCGGAAGCCUGACGCAGCGACGCCGCGUGGGGGAUGACGGCCUUCGGGUUGUAAACCUCUUUCAGCAGGGACGAAGCGAAAGUGACGGUACCUGCAGAAGAAGCACCGGCCAACUACGUG
rnacentral:rRNA from 1 species